rnacentral:rRNA from 1 species
AACGAACGCUGGCGGCAUGCCUAACACAUGCAAGUCGAACGAGAUCUUCGGGUCUAGUGGCGCACGGGUGCGUAACGCGUGGGAAUCUGCCCUUUGGUUCGGAAUAACAGUUGGAAACGACUGCUAAUACCGGAUGAUGACGAAAGUCCAAAGAUUUAUCGCCAGAGGAUGAGCCCGCGUAGGAUUAGCUAGUUGGUGUGGUAAAGGCGCACCAAGGCGACGAUCCUUAGCUGGUCUGAGAGGACGAUCAGCCACACUGGGACUGAGACACGGCGCAGUGUCCUACGGGAGGCAGCAGUGGGGAAUAUUGGACAAUGGGCGAAAGCCUGAUCCAGCAAUGCCGCGUGAGUGAUGAAGGCCUUAGGGUUGUAAAGCUCUUUUACCCGGGAUGAUAAUGACAGUACCGGGAGAAUAAGCUCCGGCUAACUCCGUGCCAGCCGCCGCGGUAA